rnacentral:lncRNA from 10 species
AUUUUCUGGAUGAAGGUUCCUCUGGCAUGGGCUGUCAGGGAUGUCAAAUGGCUCAUUGAGAAAGCCUCUGCUCAGCAUGCCAACAGAAGACACUGCUUUUCCACAUCUACUCUGAUGUCAGGGAAGAGGUGUCCCUGGGUGCUACAGCCGUGGGCAUGAUAGAGACCAACCAGGAGAGGCAAGCAGGAAAGGAGUAGAGCUGCUAGAUCUGAAAUGCAGACUAAAACAGCAGGAAAAAUGGAACAACGCGUGGACACUCUGGACUGCUGACCAAAUGCUGGAGAGGCUUCCUCUGCUCUCUGGUAUCCUCUUGGAUGAAGUUGGGUGAGGAUGUCUCCAAAACAAUCAAAAUUUUGUGUCCCUCCAGCCUGGCAAAAUGAGAGCAUCAAACCCAGAUGUAAGUUGAUUUUAAUAAAAGAAAGCCAUUCAAUAUUCUCGUAUAUCUGAGUUUGUUGCUUGAGAUUCACAACAAGCUACACAGGCUUAGCUGCCCUUAGGUUUUUUAAUUUGUCCCAGAAACCUUUAAAUGCAUUCCUCUUUAUUUGAUUUUUUAAGUUAACUCAAAGUGAAUUUGUUACUUGCACCCAAAAGGACCCUACCUAAAACAUAGGUUCUAUCUGUGCAGCCACAUUCAUUUCUGAAACUAUCUUCUUUUAUCUCUGGCUAGGAAUGUUUUAAAUCAUAUUGUCAGACUCAUUUUGAGGGUCCUGUUAUCCAACUUGAGGUGUUUUGCUUUUUUGAAGAGUCAGUUCCCGGGAUCAAGUUCAUAUUUCACUUCCCGUUUGACAGCUGCAUUAUCAAAGUUUAGCGCCUGGGGUUUCCUCUCUUCACCCCCUGCAGAUUCCAUGCUGACCUGUUUCUUUCAUUUCCUCAUCAUUUCCAGGCA